rnacentral:rRNA from 1 species
AUUGAACGCUGGCGGCAGGCCUAACACAUGCAAGUCGAACGAGUGGCGGACGGGUGAGUAAUGUCUGGGAAACUGCCCGAUGGAGGGGGAUAACUACUGGAAACGGUAGCUAAUACCGCAUACCAUCGGAUGUGCCCAGAUGGGAUUAGCUAGUAGGUGGGGUAAAGGCUCACCUAGGCGACGAUCCCUAGCUGGUCUGAGAGGAUGACCAGCCACACUGGAACUUAGACACGGUCCAUACUCCUACGGGAGGCAGCAGUGGGGAAUAUUGCACAAUGGGCGCAAGCCUGAUGCAGCCAUGCCGCGUGUAUGAAGAAGGCCUUCGGGUGGUAAAGUACUUUCAGCGAGGAGGCGUUACUCGCAGAAGAAGCACCGGCUAACUCCGUGCCAGCAGCCGCGGUAAUUC